CCUACGGGGGCAGCAGUGGGGAAUAUUGGACAAUGGGCGAAAGCCUGAUCCAGCCAUGCCGCGUGUGUGAAGAAGGCCUUCGGGUUGUAAAGCACUUUCAGUGGGGAAGAAAGCCUUGGGGCUAAUACCCUCGAGGAAGGACAUCACCCACAGAAGAAGCACCGGCUAACUCCGUGCCAGCAGCCGCGGUAAUACGGAGGGGGCGAGCGUUAAUCGGAAUUACUGGGCGUAAAGCGCGCGUAGGCGGUCUGAUAAGCCGGUUGUGAAAGCCCCGGGCUCAACCUGGGAACGGCAUCCGGAACUGUCAGGCUAGAGUGCAGGAGAGGAAGGUAGAAUUCCCGGUGUAGCGGUGAAAUGCGUAGAGAUCGGGAGGAAUACCAGUGGCGAAGGCGGCCUUCUGGACUGACACUGACGCUGAGGUGCGAAAGCGUGGGUAGCAAACAGGAUUAGAUACCCCAGUAGUC
rnacentral:rRNA from 1 species